ACCCUACAAAUCCCCUACAGGCUGCACCCUGCGCAGUUUCGCUCCCUCGCUGGACGCAGUCAACACCUCCACCCCGAUGCACAUCUCCAGACCCACCCUACGCACGCGCUUCUGAAUCCUCUUAUAGGGGAAAAAGGCAGCCGACCCUACAACUUCAAGCACCCCACAAAUCUGCGACCCCACAGCCGCACGCGGGACGUGCCCACCCCAAAUCCCGACCCCACACACUUAUUUAUUAUUUAUUGGUGCAAUAAAUUAAUGAGCAGCCUUCGUUAGCACCGAUUAAUUGGGUUGGUUUGGGACUGGGGGGGGGGUUGACCCUAUAGGAUGGCCCCAAAUAGCAUGGAUCACCCCAUAGACCCCAUAGGAUGGCUCAAAUCCCAAAUAUCACCCCAGAGACCCCAUAGGAUGGCCCCAAAUCCCAUAUAACACCCCAUAGAUCCCAUAGGAUGGCCCCAAAUCCCAUAUAAAACCCCAUAGACCCCAUAGGAUGGCCCCAAAUCCCAUAUAUCACCCCAUAGAUCCCAUAGGAUGGCCCCAAAUCCCAUAGAUGACCCCAAACCCCAUAGGAUGGACCCAAAUCCCAUAUAACAUCCCAUAGACCCCAUAGGAUGGCCCCAAAUCCCAUAUAAAACCCCAUAGACCCCAUAGAAUGGCCCCAAAUCCCAUAGAUGACCCCAUAGACCCCAUAGGAUGGCCCCAAAUCCCAUAUAACACCCCAUAGAUCCCAUAGGAUGGCUCCAAAUCCCAUAUAAAACCCCAUAGACCCCAUAGAAUGGCCUCAAAUCCCAUAUAAAACCCCAUAGACCCCAUAGGAUGGCCCCAAACCCCAUAGGAUGGCCCCAAAUCCCAUAGGAUGGUUCCAAAUCCCAUAUAAAACACCAUAGACCCCAUAGAAUGGCCCCAAAUCCCAUAGGAUGACCCCAAACCCCACAGAUCACCCCAGAGACCCCAUAGGAUGACACCAAAUCCCAUAAGAUGGCCCCAAAUUCCAUAGAUCACCCCAUAGACCCCAUAGAAUGGCCCCAAACCCCAUAGAAUGGCCCCAAAUCCCAUAGGAUGGUUCCAAAUCCCAUAUAACACCCCAUAGACCCCAUAGGAUGGCCCCAUAGACCCCAUAGGAUGGCCCCAAAUCCCAUAUAAAACACCAUAGACCCCAUAGGAUGGCCCCAAAUCCCAUAGGAUGGCCCCAAACCCCACAGAUCACCCCAGAGACCCCAUAGGAUGGCCCCAAACCCCAUAGAGGACCCCAUAGACCCCAUAGGAUGGCCCCAAA
rnacentral:lncRNA from 1 species